rnacentral:rRNA from 1 species
CGAAGGGGCGUAGCGUUGUUCGGAAGUACACUGGGCGGUAAAAGGGUAGCGUAGGCGGAUUCUUUAAGUCAGGGGUGGAAAUCCCGAGGCUCAACCUCGGAACUGCCUUUGAUACUGGGGAUCUUGAGUCCGGAAGAGGUGAGUGGAACUGCGAGUGUAGAGGUGAAAUUCGUAGAUAUUCGCAAGAACACCGGUGGCGAAGGCGGCUCACUGGUCCGGAACUGACGCUGAGGCACGACAGCGUGGGGAGCAAACAGGAUU